rnacentral:rRNA from 1 species
GCGGUAAUUCAAGCUCCAAUAGCGUAUAUGUAAAUUGUUGCGGUUGAAAAGCUCGUAGUUGGACUUCUGGCGACUGCGUUCGGUCCGCCAAGCGCGUGCACUGUCCGCGGUCGUCGUUUCUGUCGACGUGGCGCGUCGGCCUUAGUUGGUCGGUGCGUCGUCUGUCGGCGAUGUUACUUUGAGGAAAUCAGAGUGCUCAAGGCAAGCGUUCGCUCGUGACUUCACUAGCAUGGAAUAACACAGAUGGGCUCUUUCUCGCACUGUUGGUCUGCGUCAAUUGAGCAACGAUCGAUAGAGACGGUCGGGGGCAUUCGUAUUGCGCAGUUAGAGGUGAAAUUCUCCGAUCUGCGCAAGACGUACUAAUGCGAAAGCAGUUGCCAAGGACGUCCUCUUAUGAUCAAGAGCGAAAGUCGGGGGAUCAAAGAUGAUUAGAUACCGUCGUAGUCCCGACCAUAAAUGAUGCCGACUGAGCUUCGGCGACUCGACCUCAGGUCGUACGUCGGCGCUCUUAGAGAAAUUAAAGUCUUUGGGCUCCGGGGGUAGUAUGGUCGCAAGUCUGAAACUUGAAGGAAUUGACGGAAGGCCACCACAAGGCGUGGAUGUUGCGGCUUAAUUUGACUCAACACGGGAAAGCUUACUAGGUUUGGACACCUUUGUGAUGGACAGAUUGAAGCUCUUACCCUACUGCGUGGAUGGUGGUGCAUGGUCGUUCUCAGCCCGUGGGUUGACCUGUCAGGUUUACUCCGGUAACGCGCGAGACCUCGGUCUGCUAAAUAGACGCGGCUGUUUCGGCACCCGCGCUCUUCUUAGAGAGAGACUCGACGAGAGUCGAGGGAAGUCGAGGCAAUAACAGAUCUGUGAUGCCCUUAGUUAUCCUAGGUCGCACGCGCCAUACAAUGUGGUGCACAACGAGUCUCCUUGGCCGACAGGAUCUGGGCAAUCUGGCAGAGCGCUACGUGACUGGGCUAGACUUUUGUAAUUUUUGGUCUUGAACGAGGAAUGCCUAGUAAUCGCAGGUCAGCAUCCUGCGAUGAUUCGGUCCCUGCCCUUUGUACACACCGCCCGUCGCUCCAUCCGUGGCAUGCGCCGGUGAAGAGGGGGAGGCAGCGUCGGCCCGGGUAACACCGGAUCGUACGUGGAACCCCUCUGAACCUUCGCAGGUAGAGGAAGGAGAAGUCGUAACAAGGUUUUCGUAGGUGAACCUGCGAAAGGAUCAUUAUCGGCACA